ensembl:rRNA 5S_rRNA 5S ribosomal RNA
GGCCGUAUCAGCCUGAAGGCGCCCGAUCUCGUCUGAUCUCGGAAGCUAAGCAGGGUCGGGCCUGGUUAGGAUCUUGGAUGGGAGACCACCUGGGAAUCCCGGGUGCU